AGGACGAACGCUGGCGGCGCGCUUAACACAUGCAAGUCGAACGUGAAGCCCGGGCUUGCCCGGGUGGAAAGUGGCGAACGGGUGCGUAACACGUGAGCAACCUGCCCCGAAGACCGGGAUAACACCGGGAAACCGGUGCUAAUACCGGAUGCCCUCAUCAUGUCGCAUGGCGAGAUGAGGAAAUGGAUUCCGCUUCGGGAUGGGCUCGCGGCUUAUCAGCUUGUUGGUGAGGUAACGGCUCACCAAGGCUACGACGAGUAGCUGGUCUGAGAGGAUGUCCAGCCACACUGGGACUGAGACACGGCCCAGACUCCUACGGGAGGCAGCAGUGGGGAAUCUUGCACAAUGGGCGAAAGCCUGAUGCAGCGACGCCGCGUGCGGGAUGACGGCCUUCGGGUUGUAACCGCUUUCAGCAGGGACGAUGAUGACGGUACCUGCAGAGACGCCCGGCAACUACGUGCCAGCACGCCGC
rnacentral:rRNA from 1 species